UUUAUUUAAUUUAGCAUUCAAAGCAUUUUUGCGAGCAUUUAGUCAGCAAACCCUGAAGAAUUAUUACAGUUUUCAUAGUAUAACCCGGAAGACUUUAUUUUAUUAUAUUUAAUUUCUCCACCAAAUUUCCCACAUCUACCUACUCUUCCACCUACUCCCUCCUUUUUGAAAAGUUAUCAUCACUACCCACUCCCACCACCAACUCCCUGCAAAAAUCAUGCAGUAGCACACCCACUGAUAUACUUCACCCAUCCCCUUCCACUUCUACUCAAUCUCCCACCCACUUCUCACAAAUCCCUCGCAAAAACGAAUGGAAACUCAACUUCAGGAGCAAGCUUUUUCAGAAUGUACAUCAAGCUCAUCUCCCUCACCUAUUUUCAGCACACACAAUUGAGCAUCCCUCUCGAUCAAGGUUGAGCAGUUGAUGGAAUGGAAUGAUGUUGAGCGGGUGUUCCUUUGACAUUUCAAGAAAUGUAACCUUGAGUAUACAUCUUCAUAUGUAUAUCUCACACGUUUUCCGCUGCAAAACACUUUGAUUAAGAUAGCUCUAUGAUAUGAAGUUGUGAUACGUGUUAUUGGGUAACCACCUUAAUCAGUUCUCAAUUAUGUGUAUCCAAAUAAUCAUAUAUGAUCCUAGCAUUUUAUCUAUGAGUGACAUUUCCAUAUACUUUAAUGUUAAGUAAUUGUCCAUUUCCAUUUCU